UCACCUGCUGCAGCUCUUUGGCAGAAGGUCCAGGGCUUUUCUGGAAGUCCUGCCGGUCUCUGCCUCCAUGAGAAAAAGGGUCGUAGGCAUGCCCGUGGCUUCAUGAAUCUUCACUUUGAUGACAGAGACCUGUGGGAUCAAAGAAAGUCCAUUCAUUCCCUUGUUGACUGUCUGGAAAAAGCUGACCCACUGACUUCCAAGCACCCGUACCAAUUAGGGGUGGCAAAACAUACCUGGUCUGUGAGUGGGAGAGUGAAGACCAGCCCCUGACCAUUCAGCUUCCAUUCCGUCUUAUCCUGCAUGUUGGGUACCUGCACUUUGAUGGACACUGGACCCUGCAAAUGCAGUGCUCAUUAUGCCUGGAAAGGCUCAAGCCAAUAAGGAGCUAUGCUCUACUAUCAGUGGCUCAUACAAAUAAGGACUCCUGCCCCUCUUGCCCAUUUACUGCUGAUGCCAGGUGUGACAAUACACAAGGCUUCAUUGCUUUUUUAUUAUUUUUCUAGACAGGCUUAAAGGUAGGAGUCAGGGCCAGCCUAGGCUGGCCUCAAACCUCCUGUCUCUAGAGUUCUGAGACUAAGUGUAUAUUAUCAUAUUGUUUCAUCCCUGUUCCUUAAAUAGACCCUUCGUGCUUUCCAGUGAAUUCUGCAAUGUCAAGGACCAGUAGGGUAAAUAUGAUCUGUGAUACUGGGUUCAAACUCAGCAGACAAGAUACCUGAGCUCAAUGCUAUAUGCCUGUAUGAAACAGACUGCUGGGACCAUGAAAGAAAAUAAUCUGAACCUUUGGUAGGUGCUCAAGGAACUGACAGACAUUAGUCUUAGAAAAAUAAAAAUUUUGUCAAAUU